UACGUAGGGUGCGAGCGUUGCCCGGAUUUAUUGGGCGUAAAGGGCGCGUAGGCGGCUCGGCACGUCCGUUGUGAAAUCGCCCGGCUCAACUGGGCGGGGUCAGCGGAUACGGUCGAGCUUGAGCAAGCUAGGGGGUAAUGGAAUUCCCGGUGUAGUGGUGGAAUGCGUAGAUAUCGGGAGGAACACCAGUGGCGAAGGCGGUUACCUGGGGCUUUGCUGACGCUGAGGAGCGAAAGCCAGGGGAGCAAACGGG
rnacentral:rRNA from 1 species